CCUACGGGGGGCAGCAGUGAGGAAUAUUGGUCAAUGGACGAGAGUCUGAACCAGCCAAGUAGCGUGAAGGAUGACUGCCCUAUGGGUUGUAAACUUCUUUUAUAUGGGAAUAAAAUGUUCCACGUGUGGGAUUUUGUAUGUACCAUAUGAAUAAGGAUCGGCUAACUCCGUGCCAGCAGCCGCGGUAAUACGGAGGAUCCGAGCGUUAUCCGGAUUUAUUGGGUUUAAAGGGAGCGUAGGUGGUUUGUUAAGUCAGUUGUGAAAGUUUGCGGCUCAACCGUAAAAUUGCAGUUGAAACUGGCAGUCUUGAGUACAGUAGAGGUGGGCGGAAUUCGUGGUGUAGCGGUGAAAUGCUUAGAUAUCACGAAGAACUCCGAUUGCGAAGGCAGUUCACUGGACUGCAACUGACACUGAGGCUCGAAAGUGUGGGUAUCAAACAGGAUUAGAUACCCUAGUAGUC
rnacentral:rRNA from 1 species